CAAAAAAUAGUUUAAUUAAAAAUUCUAGUUUUGGGGACUAGAGAUAAGUUUUUUGCCGACUUUUUUUUGA
rnacentral:tRNA from 1 species